rnacentral:rRNA from 1 species
GAAGGGUUGCCGUAAAGCUUGCUCUCCUGAUGGUUAGCGGCGGACGGGUGAGUAACACGUAGGCAACCUGCCUGCAAGACCGGGAUAACCCACGGAAACGUGAGCUAAUACCGGAUAUCUCAUUUCCUCUCCUGAGGGGAUGAUGAAAGACGGAGCAAUCUGUCACUUGCGGAUGGGCCUGCGGCGCAUUAGCUAGUUGGUGAGGUAACGGCUCACCAAGGCGACGAUGCGUAGCCGACCUGAGAGGGUGAACGGCCACACUGGGACUGAGACACGGCCCAGACUCCUACGGGAGGCAGCAGUAGGGAAUCUUCCGCAAUGGGCGAAAGCCUGACGGAGCAACGCCGCGUGAGUGAUGAAGGGUUUUUGGAUUGUAAAGCUUCUGUUGCCAGGGAAGAAAGUCCGGUAGAGUAACU